ACUUGACAGGAGCUUAUAUGCGGGAGGAAGACUGACUUUUCACAUGGGAGGAUAGUGAUAGAACAAGAGGAAAUGGCUUUAAACUAAAAAAGGAGAAAUUUAGGUUAACUGUCAGAAGAAAUUCUUUACUCAGAGUGUGGUGAGGCACUGGCACAGCUGAACAGAAAGCUGUGGUGCCCCAUCCCUGAAGGCAUUCAGUGCCAGGUUGGAUGGGGCCCUGGGCAGCCUCAGCUGCUGGGUGGCAAUCAGCCCAUGGUGGGGGGUUGGAACUGGAUGGGCUUUAAGGUUUCUUCUAACCCAAACCAUUCUGUGAUUCUGCAAUUCUAUAGAAGAACUGAGGGAACAGACAGACUUGUCUUGAAAUUGUCAGCUGCAGGCCACCCCUGAGAAAUGGAUAGAACAGAACAGGAUGGAAUAGUUCAUCUGGAAGGGACCUUCAAACAUCAUCUAGUCCAACUGCCUGCCCACUUCAGGGCUAACUAAAAUUUCAUGCAUAUUGCCAAGGGCAUUGCCCAAACACCUGUUGAACACCAACAGGCAAGGGGCAUCAAAAAUCUCUCUGGGGAGCAUGUUCCAGUGCUUGACCAUCCUCACAGCAGUGAUUUUUUCCUACUGCCCUGUCUGAACCUGCCCUGGUGUGGCUCUGUGCUCUCAGGAACAAAGCCUUACACCUCCCUCUGCUUCCCCUGCUCAGGGGGCUGCAGGGAGCAGUGAGAUCACUGCUUGGCCUCCUCUUCUCCAGACUGGACACCCAUGUGUCCUCAGCCUUUCCUCAAAGGACAUGCCUCCAGCCCUGUUACCCAUUGUGUUGCCCUCCUCUGGAUACAUUUGAGCACCUCAACAUCCUUUUUAUAUUGUGGAGGCCAGUACCGCACACAGUACUCAAGGCGAGACCACACCAGCACUAAAUGUAGCAGGAGAAUCACCUCUUCUGACCAGCUGGCCAUGUUGUGUGUAAUGACCCCCAGAAGGUGGUUUGCCCUUUGGCUGCCAGGACACACUGCUGGCUUGUGCUGAACUGCUGUCACCAGCCCCCCCAGAUCCCUUCCUGCUGAGUUGCUCCCCACCCACUCUGCUCCAGUCUGCCAGUGUCCAACAUUACCCAUCCUGGACGCAGCACACAGCAUUUUCCUUUGUUGAACUUGCUGCCAUUGCUGAUUGCCCAAUGGCCCCAGUCUAUCCAGAUCCCUCUACAAGGCCUCUUGUCCCUCCUUCAUUCCUUCAUUUCUAUCAUUGUUUUCCUCAGCUGCCAGGAGAAACACUGAUGACUUUCUAAUUGUCCAUCUGGAAGGGUAGUGGCAUAACAAGAGGCUCACAGCCACCAGUGGGGUCAGUGCAAGCAGUACACAGGGCAAGAAUUGCCUCACAUACAGCCUUAGACAUCAAGCACUGGGCCUCUCUCCUAGCUUCUAACAAUUACAGCUCUGUUCUCUAAGGGGUCUAUCUCUCAUGGGGGAAUGGGGUGGAUUGUGCUUUCUGAGCCUUUUCUGGGGCAUCCAGUGAAGGAUGUGAUUUGAAGAUAGAUUUGUACUGUAAGGCAUAGAGACCCUAAGGUGUUAGCUCUAUAGAAAAGCUAUAAGAAAACAUUCAACAAAUCUAUGCUCUCUGAAAAUUUAGGUAAUGUUGACUAAAUAGGGCCUGCAGCCUUAUUAAAUUAACAAAUAGCCUAAUUAAGGCCUUCUCAUAACUGAGAAGUAACACAGAGGUACUGGAAAGUUUCUUAUUUGACAAAGUUUGCAGUGUCAGAAUGCUUCAAUUGGUCUUUAUUUUUUUGUUCUUUGCUGUUACAUAGAAUAAAUAUAACUUCCAUUUAAGUAUAUAUGCAAUAUUCAUUGUAUG
rnacentral:lncRNA from 1 species